rnacentral:rRNA from 1 species
UACGGAGGGAGCUAGCGUUGUUCGGAAUUACUGGGCGUAAAGCGCGCGUAGGCGGCUUUGUAAGUUAGAGGUGAAAGCCCGGGGCUCAACCCCGGAACUGCCUUUAAGACUGCAUCGCUUGAAUCCGGGAGAGGUGAGUGGAAUUCCGAGUGUAGAGGUGAAAUUCGUAGAUAUUCGGAAGAACACCAGUGGCGAAGGCGGCUCACUGGACCGGUACUGACGCUGAGGCGCGAAAGCGUGGGGAGCAAACGGG